rnacentral:rRNA from 1 species
UUCCAGACUCCUACGGGAGGCAGCAGUGGGGGAUAUUGCACAAUGGGGGAAACCCUGAUGCAGCGACGCCGCGUGAGUGAAGAAGUAAUUCGUUACGUAAAGCUCUAUCAGCAGGGAAGAAAAUGACGGUACCUGACUAAGAAGCCCCGGCUAACUACGUGCCAGCAGCCGCGGUAAUACGUAGGGGGCAAGCGUUAUCCGGAAUUACUGGGUGUAAAGGGAGCGCAGACGGCAGUGCAAGUCUGGAGUGAAAGCCCGUGGCUUAACUACGGGACUGCUCUGGAAACUGUGCAGCUAGAGUGCAGGAGAGGCAGGCGGAAUUCCUAGUGUAGCGGUGAAAUGCGUAGAUAUCACGAAGAACUCCGAUUGCGAAGGCAGCUUACUAAACUGCCACUGACAUUGAUGCUCGAAAGUGUGGGUAUCAAACAGGAUUAGAUACCCGCGUAC